rnacentral:tRNA from 1 species
GGCUUCGUAGCUCAGCUGGUAGGGCGCUUGCCGCGUUGAGGCAUGCCGUGUCUGUCGCUGGUUCGAGUCCAGCAGAAGCCC